rnacentral:rRNA from 1 species
GCAGUAGGGAAUUUUCCACAAUGGGCGAAAGCCUGAUGGAGCAACACCGCGUGCAGGAUGAAGGCCUUCGGGUCGUAAACUGCUUUUAUUUGUGACGAUUAUGACAGUAGCAAAUGAAUAAGGAUCGGCUAACUACGUGCCAGCAGCCGCGGUCAUACGUAGGAUCCGAGCGUUAUCCGGAAUGACUGGGCGUAAAGAGUUGCGUAGGUGGCAUGUUAAGCGGGUAGUGAAAUCUUGUGGCUCAACCAUAAGGCUAUUACCUGAACUGGCAAGCUAGUGUAUGGUAGAGGUAACUGGAAUUGCUAGUGUAGGAGUGAAAUCCGUAGAUAUUAGCAGGAACACCGAUGGCGUAGGCAGGUUACUGGACCAUUACUGACACUGAGGCACGAAAGCGUGGGGAGCAAACGGGAUUAGAUACCCCGGUAGUCCACGCCCUAAACUAUGGAUGCUAGCUGUUAGGAGUAUCGACCCUCUUAGUAGCGAAGCUAACGCGUUAAGCAUCCCGCCUGAGUAGUACGAACGCAAGUUU